UUUUCUUGGUUUUUGGUUGGGGUAGGGGGUGUGAGGGAUUGAAUGAACCCAGGAGUACUUAACCACUGAGCCACUCUUUUUUUUUUUUAUUUUGAAACAGAGUCUGCUUAAAUUGAUGAGGCUAGCCUUGAACUUUGGAUCCUCCUACCUCAGUCUCCCAAGUCACUGGGAUUAUAGGAAUGUGCCACCACUCCCAGCUACAUGAGAGCAUUAUUUAAAAAAUAAAUAAAUAUAAAUAUAUAUAUUCACACACACAUACAUAGCACAAUCAGAAGUGAAAUGUUAUGGUAAUUACAUGUUUUGUAAGUUUUAAUGUAUUUUUAAACUUCUUUAAUCCUAUGAAAGUGUCAGAGUAUUUCAGAUGCAUACAUAUUUAACUAAAAUUACAUCUAAUUAAAAACUAAAAGUAGAUAAUAACUUUGCCAAAAAUGUAAUUUUAAAUUAUUUUUUAAUACCAAAAUAGCCUAGCUUAGAAAAACACAGUAGUAUACUUGUUCAACACAAGAAAUUUUGUUUUCUCAGUAUUGCCUUGAAAUGUCCUUUCAUAUUAUGUAAUUUUUAACUUUUUCUUAUCAGAGAAGAUUAACUGUUUUAAGAUCAAGGAACUCAUGAAUCCUGUGGGGUAUGAACUAUGUUAUGCCCUAUAAUAAUGUUUGAUCUAACUUAAGUCUUAAAAUUGAGUUUCUGCUUGGGUAAAAUAAGUGUUUUUGAAGGACCUCAGGUGCUCAGAAUUGAGUCAUUUUUUAUCAUACUCUUCAUUAGCUUUUCUGUACUAGAUAUGUUGUUUUAUUUUACCUUGACAGUUUUUAUCCUCCGCCUACAAUUCUAUGCUCUCAUUCCAUACUUUAUUUAGCAUUUUUCUUCCAAAACAUCUUCAAUAUUUUGGAUGUAUUUUCUUGAAAAGCUACAUAAUAAUCCUUAUGUUUUUAAAUUUUAUGUAAAUGAAACUAUGGUAUAAAUUUGAUUCUAUAACUCAUAAAAUAGUAGAUUUUCAAAACCUAUUCAUGUUACUUAUAUUUAACAUGCUUCUAACUAGUAUACAUUAUUGUAUUGUGUUUACAUGUUAUACCUCAAGUACUUAAGUUGUACCUAUCUGUUCGCACAUCUGCAGACUUAUACAUGUGUUCCUAUGAGCCUGCCCUGUAGUUUCUUUGGUAUAUAUAUGGUAUAUAUUUGAGUAUAUGAAUAUUUAAUUUCACUAAGUACUUCUGAAUUAUCCUUGGGAAUGGUUGUACCAGUUUUCCUUCUACCAGCAAGACAUAAGGCUUUAUUUUCUCUACAUCUUCAGCAGCACUUGAUACUUUGAUUUUUCGCUAAUCUGAUGUGUAUGAAUAGUACUUUUUCUUAAUAUGCAUAAUCUGAUUACUCAGGGUAAAUUAUGCUUUUUAAUCAUUCUGAGUUUCCAUUCUGUGCAUUGCCUAUACUUAGAAUUUGUCCACUUUCUAUUAGGUUUUUCUCUUUCUUGCUGACUACAAUAUAAAAAAUUAUAUAUCCUCAAUAUUAUUCCCUGUCAGAUUGAGAUGAUGGAAAUAACUUAUUCUUUUGUUAAUUCUCAUCUUUAGUAUCUUUCAUGAAACAGAAAUCCC
rnacentral:lncRNA from 1 species